GCCUUAGUAGCGGCGAGUGAAGCGGCAAAAGCUCAAAUUUGAAAUCUGGCACUUUCAGUGUCCGAGUUGUAAUUUGAAGAAGGUAUCUUUGGGUCUGGCUCUUGUCUAUGUUUCUUGGAACAGAACGUCACAGAGGGUGAGAAUCCCGUGCGAUGAGAUGACCCAGACCUAUGUAAAGUUCCUUCGAAGAGUCGAGUUGUUUGGGAAUGCAGCUCUAAGUGGGUGGUAAAUUCCAUCUAAAGCUAAAUAUUGGCGAGAGACCGAUAGCGAACAAGUACAGUGAUGGAAAGAUGAAAAGAACUUUGAAAAGAGAGUGAAAAAGUACGUGAAAUUGUUGAAAGGGAAGGGCUUGAGAUCAGACUUGGUAUUUUGUAUGUUACUCUCUCGGGGGUGGCCUCUACAGUUUACCGGGCCAGCAUCAGUUUGGGCGGUAGGACAAUUGCAAAGAAAUGUGGCACUGCCUCGGUAGUGUGUUAUAGUCUUUGUCGAUACUGCCAGCCUAGACUGAGGACUGCGGCUUCGGCCUAGGAUGUUGGCAUAAUGAUCUUAAGUCGCCCGUCUUGAAACACGGACCAAGGAGUCUAACGUCUAUGCGAGUGUUUGGGUGUAAAACCCGUACGCGUAAUGAAAGUGAACGUAGGUAGGACCUCCUUUAGGAGUGCACUAUCGACCGAUCCUGAUGUCUUCGGAUGGAUUUGAGUAAGAGCAUAGCUGUUGGGACCCGAAAGAUGGUGA
rnacentral:rRNA from 1 species